rnacentral:rRNA from 1 species
UGGGGAAUAUUGGACAAUGGGCGCAAGCCUGAUCCAGCCAUGCCGCGUGGAUGAUGAAGGCCCUAGGGUUGUAAAGUCCUUUCGACGGGGAAGAUAAUGACGGUACCCGUAGAAGAAGCCCCGGCUAACUUCGUGCCAGCAGCCGCGGUAAUACGAAGGGGGCUAGCGUUGUUCGGAAUUACUGGGCGUAAAGCGCACGUAGGCGGACUGAUAAGUCAGGGGUGAAAUCCCGGGGCUCAACCUCGGAACUGCCUUUGAUACUGUUAGUCUCGAGUCCGGAAGAGGUUAGUGGAAUUCCCAGUGUAGAGGUGAAAUUCGUAGAUAUUGGGAAGAACACCAGUGGCGAAGGCGGCUAACUGGUCCGGUACUGACGCUGAGGUGCGAAAGCGUGGGGAGCAAACAGGAUUAGAUACCCCCGUAGUCCCUGAGCGGGCUGGCAAGGCGCAU